rnacentral:rRNA from 1 species
GCAAGUCGAACGGUAACAGGAAGAAGCUUGCUUCUUUGCUGACGAGUGGCGGACGGGUGAGUAAUGUCUGGGAAACUGCCUGAUGGAGGGGGAUAACUACUGGAAACGGUAGCUAAUACCGCAUAACGUCGCAAGACCAAAGAGGGGGACCUUCGGGCCUCUUGCCAUCGGAUGUGCCCAGAUGGGAUUAGCUAGUAGGUGGGGUAACGGCUCACCUAGGCGACGAUCCCUAGCUGGUCUGAGAGGAUGACCAGCCACACUGGAACUGAGACACGGUCCAGACUCCUACGGGAGGCAGCAGUGGGGAAUAUUGCACAAUGGGCGCAAGCCUGAUGCAGCCAUGCCGCGUGUAUGAAGAAGGCCUUCGGGUUGUAAAGUACUUUCAGCGGGGAGGAAGGGAGUAAAGUUAAUACCUUUGCUCAUUGACGUUACCCGCAGAAGAAGCACCGGCUAACUCCGUGCCAGCAGCCGCGGUAAUACGGAGGGUGCAAGCGUUAAUCGGAAUUACUGGGCGUAAAGCGCACGCAGGCGGUUUGUUAAGUCAGGUGUGAAAUCCCCGGGCUCAACCUGGGAACUGCAUCUGAUACUGGCAAGCUUGAGUCUCGUAGAGGGGGGUAGAAUUCCAGGUGUAGCGGUGAAAUGCGU